AUCAAAAUACAUAAAUCUUCGUAAAUUUCUGAGCACACUGCGUUAUCAAACGAUAUCUUUACGACAGAGAGUUUUCAUACUUGUUACAUAGAACAUAAAUAGAAGAACGUCUCCAGUUCAGCACUUGAAACAAAAUAGAGAGUAACUUCACAUUUAACAUUAUAAGUUAUAUCGUGAGAUCUAAUAAAUAAUUAGAUUGUAAAAUGGGAAAAAAUUACAUGAUUCCGUUUCAAAAAUUCAUGAUAACCUUGGAUUUACCAUGGAAAAAAAUAUUUUUGAAUUGAUUAUAUAUUUUUGUCGAUAUGUGUCGUGCACAAAAUCUUGGUCAAUAAUGUUUGUUACGUUACAGAUGACUGAGAAACGUGCGGUACGUUAGAGUGUACCAUAGAUCUUACAUCUACGAUAAAUAAAAAUUUUAUAUUAACAGGACUUUUAAAGUCUCUAAGAAUCUGGACUACUGGUACCGAAAAACAGAGUGUUUAUCUGUGCAAUAUUUAAAGAAUGGCAUUCCACAACAAUACGAAAACUGAAUGCUCACAACAAAAUCUAUUACCAUUCUCGUAACUGGUUGCAGUUCCUCCGACGUAUCAAGUCCAUUGUCUUUGGUAUAAAGGACCAGGAGCAACGCAAAUUCAGCCAGAUUAAACGGCCAUGCUAUGAAUGGUAACUUAUUGUUUGUGAAAGAGCGGGCCAAGUAAACACUGUAAACAUUAAUCAUUAAUUACCGAUAAAGUUAGUUAAAAGCGUUCUAUAAUUAUCACCGUUGUUUAAAUUUAAUCUACGUUCUAAUAUAAUAUACUGCCGAAUAUUUUUGUAAUGGUGGAAAAUAAAUGAUUCUCUAAAAAUCAUAAAAGAAUCGACUGUCGAGCUUUGUUUGAAUACUUCGUACGUCACACUCGUCACUUUACAUUUACGACGAUAUCAUAAAACGAGUAACAUAAAGUUAUCUUAUAUUCGUAAGAAUUACUAAAAUGCUAAUACUGCGCGCUACAGCAAAUAUUUUAUAAUAAAAAGUAAACUUAUAAGCAGA
rnacentral:lncRNA from 1 species